AGAGUUUGAUCCUGGCUCAGGAUGAACGCUAGCUACAGGCUUAACACAUGCAAGUCGAGGGGCAGCAUGGUCUUAGCUUGCUAAGGCCGAUGGCGACCGGCGCACGGGUGAGUAACACGUAUCCAACCUGCCGUCUACUCUUGGACAGCCUUCUGAAAGGAAGAUUAAUACAAGAUGGCAUCAUGAGUCCACAUGUUCACAUGAUUAAAGGUAUUCCGGUAGACGAUGGGGAUGCGUUCCAUUAGAUAGUAGGCGGGGUAACGGCCCACCUAGUCUUCGAUGGAUAGGGGUUCUGAGAGGAAGGUCCCCCACAUUGGAACUGAGACACGGUCCAAACUCCUACGGGAGGCAGCAGUGAGGAAUAUUGGUCAAUGGGCGAGAGCCUGAACCAGCCAAGUAGCGUGAAGGAUGACUGCCCUAUGGGUUGUAAACUUCUUUUAUAAAGGAAUAAAGUCGGGUAUGGAUACCCGUUUGCAUGUACUUUAUGAAUAAGGAUCGGCUAACUCCGUGCCAGCAGCCGCGGUAAUACGGAGGAUCCGAGCGUUAUCCGGAUUUAUUGGGUUUAAAGGGAGCGUAGAUGGAUGUUUAAGUCAGUUGUGAAAGUUUGCGGCUCAACCGUAAAAUUGCAGUUGAUACUGGAUAUCUUGAGUGCAGUUGAGGCAGGCGGAAUUCGUGGUGUAGCGGUGAAAUGCUUAGAUAUCACGAAGAACUCCGAUUGCGAAGGCAGCCUGCUAAGCUGCAACUGACAUUGAGGCUCGAAAGUGUGGGUAUCAAACAGGAUUAGAUACCCUGGUAGUCCACACGGUAAACGAUGAAUACUCGCUGUUUGCGAUAUACAGCAAGCGGCCAAGCGAAAGCGUUAAGUAUUCCACCUGGGGAGUACGCCGGCAACGGUGAAACUCAAAGGAAUUGACGGGGGCCCGCACAAGCGGAGGAACAUGUGGUUUAAUUCGAUGAUACGCGAGGAACCUUACCCGGGCUUAAAUUGCAGAUGAAUUACGGUGAAAGCCGUAAGCCGCAAGGCAUCUGUGAAGGUGCUGCAUGGUAGUCGUCAGCUCGUGCCGUGAGGUGUCGGCUUAAGUGCCAUAACGAGCGCAACCCUUGUUGUCAGUUACUAACAGGUUCCGCUGAGGACUCUGACAAGACUGCCAUCGUAAGAUGUGAGGAAGGUGGGGAUGACGUCAAAUCAGCACGGCCCUUACGUCCGGGGCUACACACGUGUUACAAUGGGGGGUACAGAGGGCCGCUACCACGCGAGUGGAUGCCAAUCCCCAAAACCUCUCUCAGUUCGGACUGGAGUCUGCGACCCGACUCCACGAAGCUGGAUUCGCUAGUAAUCGCGCAUCAGCCACGGCGCGGUAAAUACGUUCCCGGGCCUUGCACUCACCGCCCGUCAAG
rnacentral:rRNA from 1 species